AACAGGUCCUGGUCUACCACCUACUCACAAUGAAAGUAAAAUUCCUCCAUCAACUAAUUAUUAUUGGUGCCAAAGGGAACAGAAGCUGAGCAGGACUGUUUCCUCGCUAUGAUCAGUCAAGCCCAAAGUUGUCGUAUGGACGAGCAGCGCUGCACCUUGGAGCCCACUGGGACCACUACAUCUACCCCCAAACUCACCACUACUAUACUGUCAGGUCCAAAAGCUGACCACCUCCUCCGACUCCUGGCCAAUACUCAGAGUCGUCGCUGUAACAACCAACAACCGGCACUUCCUGUGUUGCCAGGGAUACAGGUGUUCAGGAUGGCUGUAGACCAGUCUACUGAAACCCAGACCCCCCGGACUGAAGGGGCACCUGGGAUACUCCAGAAUUCACACUUCACACCAGCCUCUCCCACCUCCUCCCAGUCGCUCUCCCAAGUAUGGAAGGAGUCAUUUUAGCAAUGUCUCAAUAAUUUGACACUUAUAGGAGUGGC
rnacentral:lncRNA from 1 species